rnacentral:rRNA from 1 species
AUGGCUCAGCUCCAAGCCACGCCGCUCAGAACCCUAGCCCUCUCCCGCCGGCGGGGCGCCGGCGCGGCGGCGCGGCCUACGGCGGGCUCCGUCCGGUGCUCCGCCGCGGCCAGGAGCUACAGCAUUACGCUCCUCCCCGGCGACGGCAUCGGCCCCGAGGUCGUCGCCGUCGCCAAGGACGUCCUCUCCGUCGCCGGCUCCAAGGAAGGCGUGGAGCUCCGGUUCCGGGAGAUGCUGAUGGGCGGCGCGGCGCUGGACGCGGCCGGCGUGCCGCUCCCCGACGAGACGCUCGCGGCGGCGCGGGCCUCGGACGCCAUCCUCCUCGGCGCGAUUGGAGGGUAUAAAUGGGAUAACAAUGAGAAGCAUCUCAAGCCCGAGACUGGGCUGCUCAACAUCCGUGCUGGGCUCGGCGUGUUUGCCAAUCUGCGGCCAGCCACCGUGUUACCGCAGUUAGUAGAUGCAUCUACUUUGAAGAAAGAGGUAGCUGAAGGAGUUGACAUCAUGGUUGUUAGAGAGCUUACUGGAGGGAUCUACUUCGGCAAACCUAGGGGUUUUGGAACCAAUGACAAGGGAGAGGAAACUGGCUUCAACACUGAAAUAUAUUCAGCUGCUGAGAUCGAUCGUAUUGCCCGUGUUGCAUUUGAGGUUGCUCGCAAGAGAGGAGGGAAACUAUGCUCGGUGGACAAGGCGAACGUGCUUGAGGCAUCUAUGCUUUGGAGGAAACGGGUAACUGCAAUAGCUUCUGAAUUCCCUGACGUUGAACUCUCACACAUGUACGUUGAUAACGCUGCGAUGCAGCUUGUUAGGAAUCCUAAACAGUUUGACACGAUUGUGACAAACAAUAUUUUUGGUGACAUAUUAUCGGACGAAGCAUCAAUGAUCACAGGAAGCAUUGGAAUGCUGCCAUCUGCCAGUGUUGGUGAAUCGGGACCGGGUCUUUUUGAACCCAUUCAUGGCUCUGCUCCUGACAUUGCUGGCCAGGACAAGGCAAACCCGUUAGCUACAAUUCUUAGUGCUGCGAUGCUAUUGAAAUAUGGCCUUGGUGUAGAAAGUGCUGCAAAGAGAAUCGAAGCCGCGGUUACAGAGACACUGGACAAUGGGUUCCGAACUGGGGACAUAUAUUCUCCUGGGACGACAUUGGUUGGAUGCAAGCGAAUGGGAGAGGAAGUCCUGAAGGCUCUGGAGUCGCAGAAGUAA